rnacentral:lncRNA from 1 species
UGGAGACAUCCACCCUUGCUUUUCACUAUGUGCACUGUUCCUGGUUAAUUUCCUAUUAGUUCACCUUGGAAUAUCAUGUGAUUCUUUCCCUCGUGGGCUGCCCCUGCCUUCCGCAUGUGUCAUCAGCACCGUGGAGAGCUGGACUAGAGAAGAGUCAUCCUUGAUGUAUAAGAAGUCCUAGCUAAGAAAGCCUAUGAGGGGGCAGGAGAGGAAAGACAGACAGACAGACAGGGUCUGCUGCCAUUCAGGCUAAAUGGCAAGGCCGGAGGCACGAACUCACUCACGAGACAGCAAAGGAUCUGAGACAAGCUUUCCAGAGGACACCGCCAGCCACUCCCCAGAAGACAAGGGCUGCUUCUUGGCUCAUCAAGAGGAAUGCAGUGGACAGAGUGGACUUUUGACACAGCGGAAAAGAUCCGUCAGAGGCUGUAGACCAAGUCCUAGCUCCAGAAUGGAGCUACAGCUGUGAUCUUAGGCGAGCCACUAUUUCCCCC